GCAUUGGUGGUUCAGUAAGAAUUCUUGCCUUCCACAUAGGAGACCAGGGUUCAGUUCCCAGCCAGUGCA
rnacentral:tRNA from 1 species